rnacentral:rRNA from 1 species
AGAGUUUGAUCCUGGCUCAGGACGAACGCUGGCGGUGUGCUUCACACAUGCAAGUCGAACGGAGUAGCAAUACUCAGUGGCGGACGGGUGAGUAACACGUGGGAAUCUACCAUUAGGUGGGGAAUAACAGGCCGAAAGGACUGCUAAUGCCGCAUAUGUAGGCAUCUCGACAGAGAUGUUUAUGAAAGGAGUAAUCCGCCUUUUGAUGAGCCCGCGUCCGAUUAGCUAGUUGGUAGGGUAAAAGCCUACCAAGGCGACGAUCGGUAGGUGGUCUGAGAGGAUGAUCACCCACAAUGGGACUGAGACACGGCCCAUACUCCUACGGGAGGCAGCAGCGGGGAAUUUUACGCAAUGGGGGAAACCCUGACGUAGCGACACCGCGUGAGCGAAGAAGCCCUUUGGGGUGUAAAGCUCUGUCAACAGGAACGAAACAAAUGACGGUACCUGUGGAGGAAGCAUCGGCUAACUACGUGCCAGCAGCCGCGGUAAGACGUAAGAUGCAAGCGUUGUCCGGAUUUAUUGGGCGUAAAGAGUUCGUAGGCGGUUUGUUAAGUCUGAUGUUAAAGACCGGGGCUCAACCUCGGAAAUGCAUUGGAUACUGGCAGACUGGAGUGCAGUAGAGGCUAGUGGAAUUCCCAGUGUAGCGGUGAAAUGCGUAGA